rnacentral:rRNA from 1 species
GACGAGGGAUCCUAGCGUUGUUCGGAAUCAUUGGGCGUAAAGCGGGUGUAGGUGGCUUUGUAAGUCAGGUGUGAAAUCCCAGGGCUUAACCCUGGAAGUGCAUUUGAUACUGCGAAGCUUGAGUGCUGGAGAGGUUACUGGAAUACCUGGUGUAGUGGUGAAAUACGUAGAUAUCAGGUGGAACACCGGAGGCGAAGGCGGGUAACUGGCCAGACACUGACACUGAGAGCCCGAAAGUGCCGGGGAUCAAACAGG